rnacentral:rRNA from 1 species
AUUGAACGCUGGCGGCAUGCCUUACACAUGCAAGUCGAACGGUAACAGGUCUUUCGGGAUGCUGACGAGUGGCGAACGGGUGAGUAAUACAUCGGAACGUGCCUAGUAGUGGGGGAUAACUACUCGAAAGAGUGGCUAAUACCGCAUGAGAUCUAUGGAUGAAAGCAGGGGACCUUCGGGCCUUGUGCUACUAGAGCGGCCGAUGGCAGAUUAGGUAGUUGGUGGGAUAAAAGCUUACCAAGCCUGCGAUCUGUAGCUGGUCUGAGAGGACGAUCAGCCACACUGGGACUGAGACACGGCCCAGACUCCUACGGGAGGCGGCAGUGGGGAAUUUUGGACAAUGGGGGAAGCCCUGAUCCAGCAAUGCCGCGUGCAGGAUGAAGGCCUUCGGGUUGUAAACUGCUUUUGUACGGAACGAAAAGUCUUGGGUUAAUACCCUGGGAUCAUGACGGUACCGUAAGAAUAAGCACCGGCUAACUACGUGCCAGCCGCCGCAGUAAUAC